UGUUCAUCCUCUGUCUAGGCAAUCCCUUUGCCGCUCCUGAUCUGAUCUUGAAGCCUUGCCUCCAUCACUCCAUGGGUUUAAAAUUCAACGGUUGCCUUUGCACUUCACCGGAAAAAUUAGCCGCCACCCACCUCUGUCCAGGCAAUCCCUUUGCGCCGCUCCUGAUCUGAUCUUGAAGCCUUGCCUCCAUGGUUAGACUCGCUGCUAAAGCCUUCCCUCAUUUUCCCCUGCUGAAAAUCCUCCCUCGGCGGCUCCGCCCUUUUGUUUAUGUUCUUUACUCCGGGAAAAUUGCUUGAGUUUAUACACACACAUACACACACACUGGUGCAUGGCUUGGCUGGUUUUUUUGUCGGUGAUCUGUAAAAGGCAUCUGUUGAAUUACCCGUCAAAUUCCGUCUAUGAUUCAUUGAAGCCAUGAGAUCUGAGGGCUUCUUAUGAAAUAUGUUUGAAAUUUUUUGCAUUUUUGGGAUAUUUAUUGCUUUAGUUUCUUA